GGAUUGUAGCUCAGUGGUGGAGUGCUUGCCUCACACCUAUGAGGCACUGGGUUCGAUCCUCAGAACCA
rnacentral:tRNA from 1 species